UACGUAGGGGGGCUAGCGUUGUCCGGAAUCAUUGGGCGUAAAGAGCGUGUAGGCGGCCCGGUAAGUCCGCUGUGAAAGUCCAGGGCUCAACCCUGGGAUGCCGGUGGAUACUGUCGGGCUCGAGUCCGGAAGAGGCGAGUGGAAUUCCUGGUGUAGCGGUGAAAUGCGCAGAUAUCAGGAGGAACACCAAUGGCGAAGGCAGCUCGCUGGGACGUGACUGACGCUGAGACGCGAAAGCGUGGGGAGCAAACAGG
rnacentral:rRNA from 1 species